GUGGUGUAGUGGUUAACAUGCCUGCCUCCCACGCAGGAGAUCGCCGGUUCAACCCCGGUCGGGACCGCCA
rnacentral:tRNA from 1 species